rnacentral:rRNA from 1 species
CGCGCAGGCGGGCUAAUAAGUUGGAUGUGAAAGCCUACGGCUCAACCGUAGAACUGCAUCCAAAACUGUUAGUCUAGAGUGUGGGAGAGGAAGAUGGAAUUAGUUGUGUAGGGGUAAAUCCGUAGAGAUAACUAGGAAUACCAAAGCGAAGGCAAUCUUCUGGAACAUUACUGACGCUGAGGCGCGAAAGCGUGGGGAGCAAACAG